rnacentral:lncRNA from 1 species
UUUGGAGCAGAGAGUGGAACACAGCAGCAUGUUGUGGGAUCCUGGUUCUCAGCCUUCUCAAAGGGAAGCAGAAGGAAGUUUAAUGAGUUAAAACUGUACUUUUGCUCCAAGACUCCCAUUCAUUGAGUUGGUAUGAAACCCAAGUACCCCUUUGUGCUACAACUGUACCUUCAAUGACUGACAAGAUUAAGCUCUCCCUUUCUGUUGCCCUUUUGGCCUGCAACUACUGACAACAGCAUGAAAAAUUGGCUGAAGUGCUUGAUGAAGCAGUCAGGCUGGGACUGUGUAUCCAUCUGUUACAUGAGGCUCUUUGCCUAAAGUAUCUAUCACCUCUGUCCAGCUUCUGGAAACUUCUGGGAUGGGAGAGCAAACCAGUCAAGAUCAUGAUGUAUUAAAUGAAGCAUGUAUAAAACCUGGAUGCAGAGACCUCCAUUCAUGUCCAAUACCUUUCCUGGGAACGGCAGCAGGGGCACUUUAAUAGAAGGAGCUGCAAUCAGGUUUCAGGAUUCAGCAGUUGACUUCUUGCCCAUUUGUCUUUUGCAACAUCCAAGUUUCUCGUGGUCAGCUGAGCCCCAUGGACAACAACUCUGCCGGCAUGUACCUGGCAAUUGUGGGGAGUCACAGAGGCUCUGUGGUGAGAUAGCUUGCUUACUGCAUGUGCCAGGAGAAGCAGCCACAAUUCCUGACAUCUUGCAUUGGGAGCAGUAAGAGGCCAGCUCGCCAGAGCUGGAAUGGGAGGAAGCACAUUGCCACAGUGUGGCUUUUUCCCUGCUGGGAAGGAAAUUUCAACCAUUUUUUAUGGUGAGUUGAUUUUUGCACUUCACAAAACGUAACCAUCUUAUCAAGACUAGUAACCUGCAGUUAAUGCACCUACUUGUGUGUUCAAGAGAAUAAAUCCACUCAAAUCAGAAUUUUGACUGUAAAC